GUCGUCUGCUUAACUUUCGUUGACAAGAAAAAAGCACAGGAAAAAGAGACGUAGUUUUAUCAGUUUUAUAAAGGUUAAAAAUGAAACGGAACCAACGAAACGAUCACUUUUUUGGAAACCUGUGUGCACGAAAUAAAACAAGUAACAUUACAAACAUGUGGUCUCUUUAUGUCAACUCUUGAUGGAAUCACAGACUAAGAGGGGUGGAAUCGAUUCAUGCACACUCCAUGCUGUUUGGCAGAUUUUACACCCCUCAUAACCACAAGAUUAUUUGCAAGUUUUGCUUGUGAUGGAUCAUCAGCAGCAAUCUGAACAUCAUCACUUGGAUUACCAACAUCUUCUUUGAUGGGCAAAAACUACCAGCCGAGUGACGGAUCUCUUCUUAUUCCCCCUUUCUUUGAAUGUCCUUGUGUACACCCAUGUGAGUGUGGGUGUAUUCACGAGGACCCCCUUUUCUCACUAUUCUGACGUGUGGAUUUAACUUUUUCACCGGAUGGAUGGAAGCACUUGUAGAUGGAUGCCUGGCUGUGGAUUUCCCAGGCUUAAAGGUAGGACAAAUUUAUGUCUAUUCUUUCUUUUUUUUAACUGUUUGGUGGCGUUGACAUUAUAAAUCGUUAACAUUGUGCGGAGUACGAUUAUUCCUGAGCUAUAGGCCCUUGACUGGAACUUUUCCCUCUUUUAUUUUGUCUACUCAGUUAGCAGUUAGGGUUCAUUAAAUAAUCAAUGUAAACUUAAAAUUGAAAUUAUUGAAAAAACCAAACUCAUUUUGUAGAACGACUGCAGAUCAGGUCCUGUUUUUGUGCCUCGCAACUUUGUCUGUAGGUAAACAAUCAAUUUCAAAAUGUUUUGAACUUUUAACUAGUUCAUAUCCUCGUGUGGAAUGAACGAACAUUGAAAUGCCAAUCGUAACUUUCGGUAUACGAAGGCAAUCAGACUUUUUUUUCGGUUGACUUUUGACACGUGUAGGUAUAAUUAUAUUUUAGGCCAAAGUGGAUUCACUAGAAAUUCCAAACACUUUCACAAGGCAAUUCGAAAAUUAACUAUAGCCAAAAUCGAGUUAUAUGUAUGAUUGUAAAUCAAAUGAACAUGUUGCGUCUUUGAAUUUUGAUGCUGCUGGCUCAAGUAGUAUUGGAUGUUGUAGUUUUGUUACGUGAAUGAUUUGUUUGAUUUCCCUAAAAAAUUCAUGCCCAGCACGUACAAUAUUUAUGAUUCCCGCAAAACGUGCUGAUUGUCCCAAUUUAAAAUUCAAACACUGCAGAUUGCAAAAGAUAAGGGCAUGUACAGCAUCUGCGAAAAUCAAUAUUUACGCGGGCUUUGAAAAUGAAGAGAAAAAGAGAUAUGUGUAUUGCAUUACCGCUUAAAAAUGAAGUACGCUCGGAUGGUUAAAUUCAUUUGAAAAUAAAUGAGAUGACGGAAGUAAACAAGAAACGUUUCUUUAUGAAGUUCAUGUGCGAGUUCGUCAAGUUCCAUUUUCCAUGAACUGAAAGUGAAAUCAAGUCGCUGAAAGUAACAAAUUUGCUCUCAUUUACGCUGUAAUUCCAAGUUGAUUUUCUGUCUGUGCAUGUCAAGCGAUUUCCUAUCUUCUAUUUCAGUCGAAAUGGAGUGUUUGUCGAGCAAGAGAAGUGAGUUUAUAUAUGUCCGUCUUAGUAAUCGGGAUACCUAUACAUGAUCAUCCAUCAUUCACUUUUAUUUAGUGAAUUAUUUAUUAUUCCGCUAGAGUCAUCUUUUUUCUAGACGACAAAGUCAAAGCAAGUUUUUGAUCACUGUUUCAAACUUUUUCCCCUUCGUUAUUAUCGCAUAAGAGAAUAAUAAUUUAAAUGACUUGUUUUCCAUGUCGAACGAAGAUUGAACCCAUUUCAAGAUCGGAAAUAAAGAAAGGCUUGACUGGGAGAAAGAAUAGGGACAAGGGAAGCCGUUUGUAGUGUUAUUCUCUCCAAUACAAGGUACACACUUAUGUAAACUCCUAGAUUAGAUGCCAGAGGAAUACGAAAGUGGAACCGAGUGCCUCAGACUUUAUAUGUUCAAGAACAGCCCGUCCCUUCAAGUUGUGAUCUUCUUAUUCAAACUUAUUACAGGUCCUUUAUUUCUUGCAGAGGGGAAAUUUAAAAGACUUUGACUUCAAAGCACUAGACAUGUAAACCUUUAGAGAUGGUGAUGGCGACUUAUUACGACGGUUGCCUGAUUUGAAACUUGUUACGUAAUGGGAUCCUUUGAUUCGGUCGUCUGUAUAAUAACUAUAGCAACUUCUCAUCCGCCAGGCCGUUUUUUUCUUGUGGUUCAGGAGGGAUUUGAUGGCUCCUUGACACUCGCUAAGUUUUGUUGUUUGCUACUUGUUCUCUCGCUUAUCCCCACUCCGCAUGAUCAAGUUUGUGACACAGUUGUCACGAGAUGGCUUUUUGUGAGCCGAGCCAUUUAAGAUGUAGCACAGACUGAUAAGACUCUUUCGUACCAAACUUGAUAUUUCGUGUAUAAUCAACAGGUUUAUGCUUCCAGGGAAACCCUGUACACACACAAGCUCAAGAAACUAAGAUGUACUAACCGACCUGGAUUGUGCGGUACUCUGUCGAGUAUUUUUUUUUAGUAUCUAUGUAAUUUCUUAGCGACUGUUGCCUAUAAGUAAAGAAGAAAAUAGCGGAAAUUAUGUACCUGUUGCAUUUAAAUGCUUACGUAGAAACAUACAGACAUGUCCAUCAAUAGAACCGAAAUAGAUGGCCUUUUAAAAGAAAAAAUUGUAUUUUAAAUGACUAAAUCUUAUUUAAUCAAAUGUUAACUGGGGUAGAUUUAAAAAAAAAAAAUAAUAAUAAUUUUUCGUUCAUCUAGUCGAUUUACUGUUGAUCUUGACUUGAGUGAAAAUCAUUUCUUCCAAGUAUCCGGGAUCCGAGAUUUCCCAGUAAAAUUUUCCCAACUGUCAGACCAGCACAAUGGAUCAGUUUGCUGAGACAUGUAAUGCGCACAUUAAUAAUAUGAUGCGUUAGAUGAGUAACGGGGAUGAGUAGCUGAUGUCUGAUAGUGAGAGAAAACGGGGGCGUGUUAAUCUAAAAAAAUUCAGUCAAUUUGCUUUUUUCCGUUUCGCUUGCAGUGCCACAUUACCCUAAUUGGUUUUCCUUCGCCAUGGCUGGAUUUCUUGUUUCCCCCUGGUGGGUUUUUAUUUAUCUUGUAUUUCAUACGCUGUGAUUCGAAGAAUCGUCGUGCGACUUUGAUUCCAGUCUAAACGCCGUAAAAGCCACCCAACCACUCUCGAGCUCUGCCUAUACUACUUAUUUCUUUCAUAAUGAAUGGUGAUGUAUAAGAACGGUGUAAAAAGACGGGCAGAUUAAAACUUUAAUCCUUCACAGCAAACGAAGCGAGCCAAAAGACAGCCGCGUUGCCUCGCGACCUUAAAGAAGGAGAAAAUCAACACAUUAUUUAAGUCUGGUGAACCAGAAAGAGCAUCAGCCAUUAUAAAGGGCAGCGCAGCAAGAUGCGAGAUCAAAAGAGUCGGCAGCAACUUCCGUGGCUCAGCUAUAUCUAUAGGUAUAGAACUUGUUCCACUCGUUGAUCCUUUUUUAGUAUUGGCCUUGUGAUCUCAACACGCGGAUAUUUCUAGUUUUAUACUACCAACUCCCACAUCUUCGACGUUAUCGACAUCAAAGCCUUCGAAGCCAUUGGGUUCCAAACUUAAAAUAUCUUUUGAUGUCUUUUUAAUAAGUCGAAAUUCU